rnacentral:lncRNA from 1 species
AGAAAUUUCAGAAGCCCCCAUGGUGCCUUACGUGUUGGAACUGUUGAGUCAUGGCCUGCACCACUGAUUGAGCACCUGAGGAAAGGACCGGGUCAGCCCUGGGAGCACAGGUGAAGGCAAUUCAUCUGUGCAACCAGAAGGGGUGGAGCCUGGCUGCACCACUCUUAGACCUCAUUUAAGGGCUGAUUGCCAGUCUAGAAGGAUCUCUGGUCGUAGAUUCUUCCUUGGUGAAGCUUUUCCCUGUGAACCUGGAAUCUCCUGAUAUGGGUGCUGCUGCUGCAGUAUCCCUUGCGUACUACACUGAAAGAAAUUGCCUGGACGUGCACCUGGAAUGUGCUCAAAUGAUACCGUGCAACUUGGAAAUGCCCAGAGGCCUUUAUGAUGACACUAUUUUGAAUUAUUGGGGAAAAAAAAAAAGAUUUAAAAUAUUUGCUCUUUGAAUGAAAUGAGUAACUCCUAGAAUGACUUCAGGUGUGUAAGAAUCCAUCACUUCCCUAGAAAGCACAAAAAUCUCAUGAAAGCAAAGAGAAUUGUACCUCCAAGAAACUCCUUAACAGCCACCACCACCAGAAGAUAAUGUCUGAUGAGCUUUUCUCAACCAAGAAUUUUCCUCCACCAUCUGGCACUGCCACUCAUCCUCCCAGAAGAGGCUGCCAGGCUCCCCCAGGAAGGCGCUGAAAACAGAGCACAGGUUCGGCUAGCACGGCGGUCUGGCCACGGAUGCUCCUUGCAAAACCUGAUUCUGAAGAGACGAGCAUCGGGGCAGAAUACCUGGAAGUCUGACACCAGUCUUGCAGUGUGGCAUGGAACACGGACUGCAGCAGUCAGAGACCUGACCUGUGCCUCACUUCAGGUGAAGUUCGUGUCUUGCAGCUCCAGGGCUGUUCUCACAGCUUUCCCAGAAAGAGAAUUUGACUUUUGGUAUGCACUUUCUGGAGAUGAAAGUACACUGCUGCUUAUUUUUAUCUCAGAUCAAAUGAUGAGCAAUCACAUCUGGAGCAGGAUGCAGAAGAUCUGAAUAGAAGCCCAAGUUCUGUCACAGAUGCACAACAGAUUUUGGCAUGAUAGCUCCUGAUGUAGAUAUAUUCUGGCUAACUUUCAAGCUAACCAGGUGGGAUACGUAUAGCUGGAAGUCCUUAGGUAGGAUUCCCAGUCCCCAGCCUUCUGUACUUUUAAAUCUAUGCUGCUCAUGGUAUUCAGCCUUGUCAGCUCCAAAACUAGGCAGAAUGUGCCUGUAUUGACUGACACAUCAAUGUCUGCCUUGCAGAACAGCAGCUAUUCAGGCUCUGAAUCAUCCUGCUCUGUCAGGCCAUGGGGAAGGACUGGGAAGCCAGAAUCAUGGCAUCUGAAACUUCAUAUUCCUGCACUCUGGAGAGAACCUGUGGGUGAGCCCUGGGAGCCAGAGGCCUCAAAGUGCCAGAGGGCAACCAUGGCUCUUGGUGUCACCUAUGAAACUGAGGACUUGAAAUCCCUGACUUUAACCUGAAUACAGAUCCUUCCACCUUAAGCCCUUUCCUAAUGAAAUCAAUAUUCUGGUCAGCUCUACUGCUAAGAAAAACAGCUGUAGCAGGAAGGGGAACAUAUUUUGUUUUCCCAGGUCCCUGCGCUGAUGUUUCUCAAAUGAAAUUUUCUCUGACGUUCAGGCAUAAAAUCUUGAAAUUAAAAUGAAAUGUAAUUGCUAAUGAAUGGAAAGUAUUACAUGCUGGCCAGCUCUAUUUGUACAUACAAAAUAUCCUAGACACCUCAAAGUUUCUUUCAUGCCAUCUCAGAUUAUUGUCCUUUAUUGUUUUACCAAGAUCUCCAAAGCCAGCUGCUUAGGGGUUUUCACUGCCCAAACUCCCACUCGUUAUUCCAUUUGACACUCGGAUCCCUUGAGCAGCACUGAAAAAUUACUAAGCCUUAAUAUCUGUGCAAGAAUUCCAAACAAUAGCUACAACGAAGGAACUGGUCCUGGCACUAAAAACCCAUGAAUAUGUAAGACAAAUUGUAUCUGGAGAGAUAACGGGCUACCAGAAUCGUCUUUCAAAAGAUAUACAAUGUAAGCUGCACACUCCUCAAUAGCUCAAGGGGCUUACAGUCAAUAAAUUUAACAGGCUCAACCUAGAAAGUCAAAGCUAAAGUACAGUAUGCAAAUACAAGCUAGAGUGGACUCUUCUUUCUACCUUAGGACAGAGUUAAUAGAGGGGAAAUGACAAAAUACAUAAAAAGGAAUGCACGGGAUUUGACAGAGCAUGUUUUUUUUUCUUUUCACUUCAAGGCAAACUACCAGACUAUUUUGGUUUACAAAUAAAUCAAACAAAGAACUUUUAUCAGUUUGCAUAAAAGUCUCAUUUUCAGCACUGGAAAGAUUAAGCUUCAGAGCCUUUUUCUGUGUGUGUAUGUGAGGGAUUACAAAGGAAGUAGUGUAAAUAAUGACCUUGCUGAAAACAGAUUAGCUUCAAUGAUUAUAUAGUAAAAUAGUAAUGUUUUCUUCACUUACAGAUUAAAAUAUCAAUUGACAGUUUCCAUAAACAAGUAAAGCUCAUGGUUAUUCAGUGUAAUAGGAUAAUGACAGUAGCAGUAUCUGACAGCCCCAUUUCUGCCUCUUGACAUUAUUUAUGGUAUUCUGAUGCUCAGUCUAGGGAGCUGGAUCUUCAGCUUUGCCAGAUGUGUUUGCUGUGGCUCAGUGUUUAUGUGACAAAAACAUUUCCUUUAGGAAUUUCCUUUAUUUUACAGUUAUGUGGUCACACUAAAUACAAAUGUAUUGGACCCAUCACAUUCUUAUGGUUAUAAUCUUUUAAAGUCAACUUUUCAAGACCUACCCCUACUGCUUUCAGGUGACUAAGAGCACAUAUGGGCUGAUUUCUCACUAGCUUACCCCUCAUACUGACAUCUACACUUAGUUUAAGUUGUCGGUCAAAACUGAAGCAGCUGGACUAUUCCCACCGAGACUCUGUUUUUCUUUUUUUUCUCUCCUGUCUUUGCUGUUUCUAAAAAGUACUACAAAGGAUGGAAACAGCAUACAUGGGAUGGAUACGGUGUUGGGUGUGGCAGGCCAGGUCUCUGCUCUGACUCAAUGGGGACUCUCAGGACAGAAAAAUCCAGCUUUGAGAGGGGCAGAGCAGAAGAAGGCUCCUGUAGUCCAAGUUAGUAUUUUAAUACAGAAAGCAACAGGCAAAUAUUCCUUCUCUUUGUGAGCAGGUCGGUGUUUAUGAGCACAAACUCAUCACAGGAGCCUUGGCUUGCAGUACCUGGGUUCUUCAAACAAAGCAAAGUGCAGUCUUGUCUAGCGUAUGUCCUGGCAGAGAAACCAGGGCUUUAAAGCAGCCUAUAAAAAUUAUGGUACACUAGCAAAAUUGGUUAAUGUUUAAUUAUGUUCAAUGGAGAAAGACUUAAAAGCCUGAAAUUGUGACUUCCUAAAUUGUCAAUCAUCUAAAAGACGCAGUAAGUUAAGAUUUUUCUUGAACAGUAUCUUCUAUUAAAUUUAUUAAGCUGUAUGACACUGAGCCUGGGUUUCUACUUUAACUUCAUGCCAAUGGAAAGGAAGAUAAGCAGACAGGAAAGAGGGUAUUGUGCUAUAGACUUGAGGUGCUGGAUUUUUUUUUUUUCUUUUAAAUUCUAUCACAAAACUUGUUUUAGGCAGAUCUCUGAAAAGAGCUCCCCCGAACUGGUCAAUGCAUCUUCAAAAAGGCUGUUAACCCUAACUGUGGGUAUUUGUACUCAUGGUAUGCCAUUUCUUAGCCUGUGUCUCUACAACAGUUUGUGAGUGCUGCGUAAUGGGGCUGUAGGCAAACACUGUGUAAAGCAGUCACAUCCAGCAAUGGUAGCAGUCUGUCUUCAGAAGCACAGAGCACAGUUCAAGCUACAAAAUCCAUUCAGAAUGUCGAAAAAAAUCAAGGAGAUUAACUUAUGCUGCACUCAGUGCUGCUCUAGUUGGUUUAAAACCUUAGCCAUAUUUACACUGAAGGGUCAAAAUGGUAGAAACAAACAAAACAAAUGAGCCUCAGCACCUGUUGUACAUGCAAGUAAUUGGAAAAAAAAAGGCUUAAAAAACAGGCUGCCAACCUUUGAUCUAUGGAGAAGGUGUCUGGACAUCACACAAGAUAUGACAGAGGAGCUCUCAAUGUAGAAGGGCAAUAGUAAGAAGCCACCCAGGGAAAGCAACAGACUAAUCUCAGAGUCCAGUGUAAGCAGAAAUCUUCUAACAGACAAAAUCAAUCCCUUCCAUGUUUUCUUUGUAGCUAAGUUGAGGAAACUAUCUCACGUAGAGAGUGAAAAAUGCACAUCCAGUGUAAUAAAUCUGCAUCCACAUAUGUCUAGCAAUUCACUUUUUCUUAUAAUUACCUUUUCUCUGUUAGUUCCUCUUGUUUCUUCAGCAGUCGUCCCAUGGAUACUUUCACGAAGAUGAUCUUGAGAAUAGAGAAUGCGCUGUCUUGUAAAGAGAAGAGAAAAUAAAAGGUUUUUGAGGGUUCUAUUCACCAUAACACGCCCAAGGGACUUCACGUACCAUCUAACUGUGCUGAUGGUAGCAGGAAAAGGCAACAGACAAAUGUAAGUCGACAAACUAGAACGCUGUUGUGCUUUCAGACUGCAUUAAAAAAGUGAAAGUCUAAAUGUUUUUCCUUUUCUUUACUUUUGCUUAGAAGUCUUUGAGGAAAGACUGAUGUUCCUUUUCCUUUACUUUUCCCAAAGUUUUAUUUUCCAGGUGUUGGGCCUGCAAAGAGCUGCUUUUAAAACUCUGGCGACAAUUUUACAUUCUGAAAGGAAUUCAAACAUUUUCACUUGCUCCAAAAUAUAUCAACUUAUAUAGCUUAUAUAACAAAUAUAGCUUAACAUUAAAAAAUACGGUGCCGUUACAUUUAUAAAACCCAAACCUUAAAUUCUUCAGUAUAAACUCCUUUACUUGUCAACUCUAUUUCAAUACAGAAAAAUAAUUUUAAAUACGAUCACUAUAAUAUCCUUAUGACAUACUUUUUUAUGAAGGUAUAGGAAAGGAGUCAGCAGUAUUCUGAAUACUAACUGAACAUAGCUUAUGACUAUGGCUAGCCAGACAGUAUUUGAAGUAGAUGGGAUCUGUUUCUGCUUUGUCUGGUCUUUGCCCAUAUCUAACCUAUAAAAAAGGCAAUUACUGAAGCAAAUGAUGAAGUUAGUAUUCAAUAAGAUAGUAAACUACUCAGUCAAAUGGUAUCAUACAGGUAAGAAAGGUCAAAUAGAAUUGAAACAGCAUAUUUAAGAAGAGGUAGGAAGCAUCAGCCCUAUCUACAAACAAUCAGUGAAGGGUAGGAUUUUCAACAGCCCCACUGAAGUUGAAGGGAAUCUCCCACUGACUCAAGCCAGUCAAACUUUAACUUUUAACUUUUUGGAAAACUUUAACCAAUCUAAUUUCAAAGGUCAUGUGCUUGUUGUUCAAAAUUAUGUGACUGUAAAUAACUUUUGUUACAGCAAAUGCUUAUCUGAUUUUAUAUUGCAUAACAAAAGGAUACAAUCUCACUCUGUAAGAUGCUCUAAACAGCGAAUUAUUUGUGAAGCAGUUCUAUCAUUACCUUAGUUGCCACUUGCUGUUCUCGAGUCCACAUUUUGUUUGUGUCACUGGUUCUAUUAAACUGCAGUGUUUCUUUUUUCUAAUUGUUUUUUGUUUUUCUGAAGUAAAUAUAAAUGUAAAGUUAGUGGUUAAAGCUUGUCUUACCUUUUCUUCUGAACAGUCAGGGUCUUUACCUCAGUCUCUGUAAACAAUACUUUGGAGUAUUCACUCAGUUGUGGUGGCCAGACCAGCAGUAACCAAUCACUAACUAAAACUACAACAGUGCUGACAUAUAGCUGUUGCGCUGUUGCCCCCAUGCCCACCAUGGACACAACACCCUGCCCAGACCUUCAGUCCUGAGCAAGCAGCAGUGGUUGAACCAAAAUACCACGCGGCCACUCUUGCGCAGAGUGCCUAGGACAAGCAUCUCAAUUUCCUUGAGCCCAGAGGUCUUCAGCACAAUGACAUGGUAACAGCUUUACGAGCAAACACUAUCUCACAAGUGAUGGGAUAUAAACCUGUUUUCAGAGAGCUGCUUGCAGUGCCAUAAGUCUGUGUCAUCGUCCCUUCCAUCAUACUCAUGCACGCUGAAAAGGCCACGAGAUUCAUUCAAAUCUUGGAGGCUUCUCUUAUCGAGUAACAAUAAAUGAAGCUCUGCAGGUCAAAUCUUGAUUAUAAAUUGCAUCCAAGUACCUGCUAAAUUGUAAAACUCUUGGGAAAGCUGAAAAUCACCAUUAUCAUUAAAUGCCACCCCUAAAAACGCAUAAGAAACAUUGUCGCUUGUUCUAGGGUGGAAGUUACUGUUAUGGAGACAUUACCAUUAACAAGUAUUUUUUACAUCAUCUAAAAAGUAUGUAUUUAGCUUAAUUGUGGUAAAACUAGAUAGUAUUCUGUUGAUUUCGUAAUUACCACAAAAACUGCAAAAUAAAAUACAUGUUUUGGG